UAGUCCACGCCGUAAACGAUGAUUACUCGCUGUAGGCGAUACACAGUCUGUGGCUAAGCGAAAGUUUUAAGUAAUCCACCUGGGGAGUACGAUCGCAAGAUUGAAACUCAAAGGAAUUGACGGGGGCCCGCACAAGCGGAGGAACAUGUGGUUUAAUUCGAUGAUACGCGAGGAACCUUACCUGGACUUAAAUGUAGAUUGCAUAGAGUGGAGACAUUCUUUUCUUCGUACUAUUUACAAGGUGCUGCAUGGUUGUCGUCAGCUCGUGCCGUGAGGUGUCGGGUCAAGUCCCAUAACGAGCGCAACCCUUAUCCUUAGUUGCCAUCAUUUAGUUGGGCACUCUAGAGAAACUGCCGGUGACAAACCGGAGGAAGGUAAGGAUGACGUCAAGUCAGCAUGCCCCUUACGCUCUGGGCUACACACGUGCUACAAUGGUCGUGACAAAGAGUUGCUAGUCUGCGAAGGCAAGCCAAUCUCAUAAACGCGGCCUUAGUUCGGAUUGC
rnacentral:rRNA from 1 species